UCCCCUGUCCCUAAUCUGGGUCCUUUUCGUGCCGAUCAGUAAAUCAAAUAGGUAUUUUGAAGAUGUGCUAUGCCGGAUGGAGAAAUACGCCUAGUGAACUCCACGCACCAAAUGCUCGCACAAGAGACAUCCAUCCAACUGAAAACUGUAAAGAAAUGCGUGAAUCUUUCCAAAGGAAGAAGGAAUAAAGAGAAAAGAGCCUGGAGUGGUGCCUCCUUGGGAGGCAGCCACAGGAGGAUCUCUGAGUUCAAGGCCUGGUGGUCUGUCUGCAUAAUGACUACAGGGUUACAGGACUACAUAGAGAGACACUGUCUCAAAAAAAAUCAUAAGAAAGAAAAGAGAAAAUCAAACAUCAAAAGACUACAUAAAACCAGCCACAUUUUUCACACACACCAAGACUUAAAAUGCAUUUGUUCUUCAUGUUACAUUCUUUUUCUUCCAUAAUCUCCACCUCAAAACCUCUGUAUCUGACUUCCAACCCAGCCGGCUGAUAGGAUUUCUGUGCCUUUACAUAGAAAGAAAACCACUCUGCUGCAAUG